rnacentral:rRNA from 1 species
GCAAGUCGAACGCAGUAGCAAUACUGAGUGGCAGACGGGUGAGUAUGAUGUGGGAAUCUGCCUUUUGGUUUGGAAUAACUUGGGGAAACCUGAGCUAAUACUGGAUAAGCCCUUACGGGGAAAGCUUUAUGCGCCAAAAGAUGAGCCCGCACUUGAUUAGCUAGUUGGUGAGGUAAAGGCUCACCAAGGCAACGAUCAAUAGCUGUUCUUAGAGGAAGACCAGCCACAUUGGGACUGAGACACGGCCCAGACUCCUACGGGAGGCAGCAGUAAGGAAUCUUGCACAAUGGGGGAAACCCUGAUGCAGCGAUGCCGCGUGAGUGAAGAAGGCCUUUGGGUUGUAAAACUCUUUCGUUGGGGAAGAAAAUGACUGUACCCAAAUAAGAAGGUCCGGCUAACUUCGUGCCAGCAGCCGCGGUAAUACGAAGGGACCUAGCGUAGUUCGGAAUUACUGGGCUUAAAGAGCUCGUAGGUGGUUAAAGAAGUUGAUGGUGAAAUCCCAAGGCUCAACCUUUGAACUGCCAUCAAAACUUUUUAGCUAGAGUGUGAUAGAGGAAAGUGGAAUUUCUAGUGUAGAGGUGAAAUUCGUAGAUAUUAGAAAGAACACCAAAAGCGAAGGCAACUUUCUGGAUCACUACUGACACUGAGGAGCGAAAGCAUGGGUAGCGAAGAGGAUUAGAUACCCUCGUAGUCCAUGCUGUAAACGAUGUGUGCUAGACGUUGGAAAUUUAAUUUUCAGUGUCGCAGCAAAAGCGUUAAGCACACCGCCUGGGGAGUACGACCGCAAGGUUAAAACUCAAAUGAAUUGACGGGGACCCGCACAAGCAGUGGAGCAUGUGGUUUAAUUCGAAGAUACGCGCAGAACCUUACCAACACUUGACAUGUUCGUCGCGAGAC